rnacentral:snRNA from 1 species
GUGCUCACUUCGGCAGCACAUAUACUAAAACUGGAACAAUACAGAGAAGAUUAGCAGAGCCCCUGUGCAAGGAUGACACACAAAUUUGUGAAGCAUUUCUUAUUUUU